rnacentral:ncRNA from 2 species
AUCCGUUAGUCGGGGAGCCAAGCGCUGAGACCACGUAGUGGGACCCGUUGAACCUGAUCCAUUUAAUAAUGGCGUAGGGAACUAGCUAGACUGCUCU